GCUCUUUCAAGCUUGAUGACAUUUUUGUCCAGGCAUAUAUCUAGAUCAAAAUUUCACUCAUAAGGGGAAAGGUUUAUUAGCUUGCUUUGAAUUUUACGUUAACGCAAGAUUAUAUAAGCUAACAGGCUUUUGAACAUCUUGUCCCCAAAGUCAAAAAUCACUGCAUGCAGAACUUGACUUUAAGAUUAAAUGCACCAAGAGUGACUUAACAUUUUGAGUAAAAUUACUCAAACUUAUGAGCAAAUGAGCAAAUUCACUCAAUUUUUUUAGUAAAGAUUUACUUUACUAAAAUUUAAUAUUUUAGUCAAUAUUUUUUGCAGUGAACGGUCAUUUGAAUAGGUAUAUAGACGAGUCUUUGUGAAUUUGAAAGAUGUCACUGCACUAUACACUUGAUUGAACUAGAUUUGGUGGAUUUGAUAGAUUUGAUUUGAUAUGAAUGCUGGAUUUGGUGGAUAAUCACAGGUGCA